UUGAACGCUGGCGGCAGGCCUAACACAUGCAAGUCGAGCGGUAGCGCGGGGCAACCUGGCGGCGAGCGGCGGACGGGUGAGUAACGCGUAGGAAUCUACCCAGUAGCGGGGGAAAGCCCGCGGAAACUCGGAUUAAUACCGCAUAUGCCAUAAGGGGGAAAGCAGGGGAUCGUAAAACCUUGCAAUACUGGAAGAGCCUGCGUAGGAGUAGCUAGUUGGUAGGGUAAAGGCCUACCAAGGGGACGAUCCAAAACUGGUCUGAGAGGAUGAUCAGUCACACCGGAACUGAGACACGGUCCGGACUCCUACGGGAGGCAGCAGUGGGGAAUAUUGGACAAUGGGGGCAACCCUGAUCCGGCCAUGCCGCGUGUGUGAAGAAGGCCUUCGGGUUGUAAAGCACUUUAAGUGGGGAGAAAGGUUCGGCAGCUAAUACCUGCCGGAAGUGAUGUUACCCACAGAAUAAGCACCGGCUAACUCUGUGCCAGCAGCCGCGGUAA
rnacentral:rRNA from 1 species